AGCGAGAACAUGGCUUCGCCCAUGGGGACAGCGGCGAACGGGUGAGUAACACGUGGGUAAUCAACCCCCGACACCGGGAUAGCCCAGGGAAACUUGGAUUAAUACCGGAUGCCCCAUCUGGCUUUCGAGCCGGCUGGAAAAGGGUAGCUUCGGCCUCUGGUCGGGGACGAGCCCGCGGCGGAUUAGCUUGUUGGUGAGGUAAAGGCUCACCAAGGCGACGAUCCGUAGCUGGUCUGAGAGGACGAUCAGCCACACUGGGACUGAGACACGGCCCAGACUCCUACGGGAGGCAGCAGUAGGGAAUCUUGCGCAAUGGGCGAAAGCCUGACGCAGCGACGCCGCGUGAGGGAAGAAGGCCUUCGGGUUGUAAACCUCUUUCAGGAGGGACGAAGCCACUCGGGUUAAUAGCCUAGAGGGUGACGGUACCUCCAGAAGAAGCCCCGGCUAACUACGUGCCAGCAGCCGCGGUAAUACGUAGGGGGCAAGCGUUGUCCGGAUUUAUUGGGC
rnacentral:rRNA from 1 species